rnacentral:tRNA from 1 species
GCAUUGGUGGUUCAGUGGUAGAAUUCUCGCCUCCCACAUGGGAGCCCUGGGUCUGAUUCCCGGCCAAUGCU